GGGAAUGAGUCAGUUGAACAGAAGUGGUCGUCGGAGAAGUUUGAUAUUUAUUUUCUCCACGUUUUUCGUUUCGAAAUAAAAAUCUAGUUCUUCGAAAUAAUUGCGUGUGAUUUUAAUGACAGGAUCUACUAAUAAUGGAAAGAAAUACAAUCUUCAUAGACUUUAUGCAUUAAAAAAAAAAAAAAAAAAAAAAAAAAAA